rnacentral:rRNA from 1 species
UAGGAAUCUUGCGCAAUGGGGGAAACCCUGACGCAGCCAUGCCGCGUGAAUGAUGAAGGUCUUAGGAUUGUAAAAUUCUUUCAGCGGGGACGAUAAUGACGGUACCCGCAGAAGAAGCCCCGGCUAACUUCGUGCCAGCAGCCGCGGUAAUACGAAGGGGGCUAGCGUUGCUCGGAAUUACUGGGCGUAAAGGGUGCGUAGGCGGAUGUUUAAGUCAGAGGUAAAAGCCCAGGGCUCAACCUUGGAACUGCCUUUGAUACUGGACAUCUUGAGUACGGGAGAGGUGUGUGGAACUCCGAGUGUAGAGGUGAAAUUCGUAGAUAUUCGGAAGAACACCAGUGGCGAAGGCGACACACUGGCCCGUUACUGACGCUGAGGCGCGAAAGCGUGGGGAGCAAAC